rnacentral:rRNA from 1 species
UACGUAGGGUGCGAGCGUUGUCCGGAAUUAUUGGGCGUAAAGAGCUCGUAGGCGGUGUGUCACGUCGGCCGUGAAAACCUGGGGCUUAACUCUGGGCGUGCGGUCGAUACGGGCAUCACUAGAGUUCGGCAGGGGAGACUGGAAUUCCUGGUGUAGCGGUGAAAUGCGCAGAUAUCGGAAGGAACACCAGUGGCGAAAGCGGCUUCCUGGUCCAGCACCGACGUUCAGGCACGAAAGCGUGGGGAGCAAACAGG